AUUGAACGCUGGCGGCGUGCUUAACACAUGCAAGUCGAGCGGUAACAGGUGUAGCAAUACAUGCUGACGAGCGGCGAACGGGUGAGUAAUGCUUCGGAAUCUGCCCAGUAAAUGGGGAAUAACUAGCCGAAAGGUUAGCUAAUACCGCAUACGACCUACGGGUGAAAGCGGGGGAUCGCAAGACCUCGCGUUAUUGGAUGAGCCGAAGUCGGAUUAGCUUGUUGGNGAGGUAACGGCUCACCAAGGCGACAAUCCGUAGCUGGUCUGAGAGGACGACCAGCCACACUGGGACUGAG
rnacentral:rRNA from 1 species